rnacentral:tRNA from 1 species
GGGGGUCUGGGGCACGCGGGUGUUUUCCUGACGGUUCAGGCGUCGGGGAUAAGGGGGGCCAGCCCCCCGGCCUUUG